AGCCCAUCAAAUAUAUUGAUUUCCAGCCUCUCCCAGAAAUUGAAUCCAUCCGCCUCCAAGCCAGGAGUUCUCUCUAGCCACUCCUGAGAAGAACAGCCAAGAGGUUUUAUCACUUUUAUACCCUGGUCCUGUUGAGAGAACGAGAGAAGAGUCUACAAGUUGUCAGCUGAAGCAGGUGGUGGCUGGCAUAACAGAUCAUCAGAUGUCACACUAUGAUCCCGUCCUGCUGGCUGUCCCAUUUAUACAGACAUCGUUUCGGAGCUGUUACUGCCUCUGAUGCUGCCUUAGAGGUA